UACGUAGGUCGCAAGCGUUGUCCGGAUUUACUGGGCGUAAAGAGCGCGCAGGCGGCUGGUCAAGUCCGAUGUGAAAUCUCCCGGCUCAACUGGGAAACUGCAUCGGAAAACUGAUCGGCUUGAAGAUGGGAGAGGGUAGUGGAAUUCCCGGUGUAGUGGUGAAAUGCGUAGAUAUCGGGAGGAACACCAGUGGCGAAGGCGACUACCUGGCCCAUUCUUGACGCUG
rnacentral:rRNA from 1 species